AAAUGAAUUUCAAACUUUGGAGCCCUGGAGAACCUGAGAACCAAAAGCGUGUUGAGCACUGCAUUGCGAUGAACUUUGGAGCUACAGGACGUUGGAAUGACCAAAAAUGCACAGCCAAAGUACCAUUUGUGUGUGCCAUUUCUGGCUGAUCUGAUCUCUUCCCCUACAUGCCAUGUUAAAUCAGAAGUGUCAUGCCCAUUUAAUCUUUUUUUUUUUUCUGAACAUUUUUAAUACAGUGCAAAUUUAUUUUAUUUUAUUUAUUUUAUUAAGUUCAGUUUCAAUUUUGCUUUGUUGCAUGAUACCUCUGUGUUAAACAUCUUUCUUUCUGUAACUCAAUAAAUCAAAUAGCAUUCA